rnacentral:rRNA from 1 species
AUUGAACGCUGGCGGCAUGCUUUACACAUGCAAGUCGAACGGUAACAGGCCUUCGGGUGCUGACGAGUGGCGAACGGGUGAGUAAUGCAUCGGAACGUACCCAGAGGUGGGGGAUAACGCAGCGAAAGCUGUGCUAAUACCGCAUGUGAUCUGAGGAUGAAAGCGGGGGACCGAGCAGCAAUGUUUGGCCUCGCGCCUUUGGAGCGGCCGAUGUCGGAUUAGCUAGUUGGUGGGGUAAAGGCCUACCAAGGCGACGAUCCGUAGCUGGUCUGAGAGGACGACCAGCCACACUGGGACUGAGACACGGCCCAGACUCCUACGGGAGGCAGCAGUGGGGAAUUUUGGACAAUGGGCGGAAGCCUGAUCCAGCAAUGCCGCGUGCGGGAAGAAGGCCUUCGGGUUGUAAACCGCUUUUGGCAGGAACGAAACGGUGUCCGCUAAUACCGGGCGCUAAUGACGGUACCUGCAGAAUAAGCACCGGCUAACUACGUG